rnacentral:rRNA from 1 species
UGGGGAAUUCUGGACAAUGGGGGCAACCCUGAUCCAGCCAUGCCGCGUGAGUGAAGAAGGCCUUCGGGUUGUAAAGCUCUUUCGCAAGGGAAGAAACGGCGUUAUCUAAUAAAUAGCGCUAAUGACGGUACCUUGAUAAGAAGCACCGGCUAACUACGUGCCAGCAGCCGCGGUAAUACGUAGGGUGCGAGCGUUAAUCGGAAUUACUGGGCGUAAAGCGUGCGCAGGCGGUUUCGUAAGUCAGAUGUGAAAGCCCCGGGCUCAACCUGGGAACUGCGUUUGAAACUGCGAGGCUAGAGUGUGUCAGAGGGGGGUAGAAUUCCACGUGUAGCAGUGAAAUGCGUAGAGAUGUGGAGGAACACCGAUGGCGAAGGCAGCCCCCUGGGAUAACACUGACGCUCAUGCACGAAAGCGUGGGGAGCAAACA